rnacentral:lncRNA from 1 species
UAACAAAGAAAAUCAGUUUUAAAAUGGCAAAUUAUAAAUCAUGUGUAACUGCUCUUUUUCUGUCUUUACUUCUCUGUCUUUCCUCUCAAGUCGGUGUCGCCGAGGCCAACCGCUCCACACGUUAGUUUAUAUAUUCGUCUACGCAUAUAAAUAUAACUUACACUUAUUUUCAACUAUUCAAGUUACUAUAUAGAUUGUUUUAUAUAAAGAGAUGUGCUCCGACAAUGAUGCUCAUUUCAUUUUUUUUUUAAUUGUAGUCACUACCAAGUCUUCGGAUACCCGAUGCGCGAGAAACCCACCAAGUAAAUUCCAGAGCCAGAAUUCAAAACAUAUACAUAUUAGUUCGAAUAUAUUGUUUGUACACAAUUAUGAUUCAAUUUAUAAAUGUUAAGAUGAUUCAAAUUUUCAGGGCGUUACUGACCCUUUAAAGCUCAGUACCUUAAUGUUAAGUUUUAUUUAAAGAACCUGACGUUAACUAAUCAUAUGAUCUUUCAUUGAUUUUUUUAAAUUUUUCUUUUCAUAUUGUUCCAGGUCAGUACCGGCGAGGAUGUUCCAGCGCCCCUCCCAUGACGGGCACACGUGCGAACCACUCUCACUCAACCAAAGGAAAAGGUCCAUAAGUGAUGAUGAACUUAAGUUUAAUCAAGAAGUGAUGGGGAGUUGAAGAAAAAUAUGUUUCAAGGGAAUGUCGAAUAAUCAAGUUUAUAUACUGUUGUGUAAUUGUUAAAAGUCUUAACAUGGAAUAAAUGUUUAAAUAAUCAGAGAUAAGCUAUUCCAAAUUAUAUGUGGAUUUAAACACAAAAUUAAAUAAUUAUAUGUACACUUUUGAAUAAAUAAAAAUAUGACUUUUGACUUAAAAA